rnacentral:lncRNA from 1 species
GUAUACUUGACUUCAGGAUUGAUUGACUGAUCGAUUGAUUUAUUUGCCAUGCAUGAUUGGUUUACUCUAUUCCUUGAUAUGCGCUUAAUUAUAUCUGUUCAUUGUUCACUAACCAUGUUUCAUGAUAGCGCGUUGCCGUUUGCUACCCAGGUACGCAUUCACUCAUAUUCUGGUUAUUUUCUAUAUAUAUUCUGAUACUCAUAUGUGCAUGAUCGAAUCGAGUAUUCAUUAUUUUCCUUAUCAAUUGCCAUGAUUGUUUCAUUUUAUUAGUAGAGACCCGUUUUUAGGGACUUAGAAGGGUGCUACGGUGUUCACCGUACCUUC